rnacentral:antisense_RNA from 1 species
GAUAACCGAAAAUUGUGGCUGGGUUCAGGGUUGGGUUGGUGAUGAGGCGGACAUCUCCACCGCCAGGAGCCCAGGUAUCGUAGAGACCACCAAAGAACAUGGCCUUAGCCACGAGCAAAAGAGCACCUAGUCCCAGGACAAUCAGGUGAAAGCCCAGGAUGGUGGUCAUCUUGUUCUUGUCUUUCCA